UACGUAGGUGACCAGCGUUGUCCGGAUUUACUGGGCGUAAAGAGCGCGCAGGCGGUCGUUCAAGUCCGAGUGUGAAAGCCCCCCGGCUCAACUGGGGAGGGUCAUUCGAUACUGAUCGACUGGAAGGCAGGAGAGGGAAGCGGAAUUCCCGGUGUAGUGGUGAAAUGCGUAGAUAUCGGGAGGAACACCAGUGGCGAAGGCGGCUUCCUGGCCUGUUCUUGACGCUGAGGCGGCGAAAAGCUAGGGGAGCAAACGGGG
rnacentral:rRNA from 1 species